GCCAUUCCGCGUGCAGGACGAAGGCCUUCGGGUUGUAAACUGCUUUUGUACGGAACGAAAAGGUCUCUAUUAAUACUAGGGGCUCAUGACGGUACCGUAAGAAUAAGCACCGGCUAACUACGUGCCAGCAGCCGCGGUAAUACGUAGGGUGCAAGCGUUAAUCGGAAUUACUGGGCGUAAAGCGUGCGCAGGCGGUUAUAUAAGACAGAUGUGAAAUCCCCGGGCUCAACCUGGGAACUGCAUUUGUGACUGUAUAGCUGGAGUGCGGCAGAGGGGGAUGGAAUUCCGCGUGUAGCAGUGAAAUGCGUAGAUAUGCGGAGGAACACCGAUGGCGAAGGCAAUCCCCUGGGCCUGCACUGACGCUCAUGCACGAAAGCGUGGGGAGCAAACAGGAUUAGAUACCCUGGUAGUCCACGCCCUAAACGAUGUCAACUGGUUGUUGGGUCUUCACUGACUCAGUAACGAAGCU
rnacentral:rRNA from 1 species